UUGGGAGCUCACUGACUUCAGAUUCCAUGGGAACUCUGAAGUUAAGCGAGUUUGGGCUAGAGCAAUCCCAGGAUGGGUGACCCACUGGGAAGUUGCUUGUGAGUUCCCAAA
rnacentral:rRNA from 1 species